ACGGGUGAGUAACACGUGGGCAAUCUGCCCUUCACUCUGGGACAAGCCCUGGAAACGGGGUCUAAUACCGGAUAUCACUUCCGCAGGCAUCUGUGGGGGUUGAAAGCUCCGGCGGUGAAGGAUGAGCCCGCGGCCUAUCAGCUUGUUGGUGAGGUAAUGGCUCACCAAGGCGACGACGGGUAGCCGGCCUGAGAGGGCGACCGGCCACACUGGGACUGAGACACGGCCCAGACUCCUACGGGAGGCAGCAGUGGGGAAUAUUGCACAAUGGGCGAAAGCCUGAUGCAGCGACGCCGCGUGAGGGAUGACGGCCUUCGGGUUGUAAACCUCUUUCAGCAGGGAAGAAGCGAAAGUGACGGUACCUGCAGAAGAAGCGCCGGCUAACUACGUGCCAGCAGCCGCGGUAAUACGUAGGGCGCAAGCGUUGUCCGGAAUUAUUGGGCGUAAAGAGCUCGUAGGCGGUCUGUCGCGUCGGAUGUGAAAGCCCGGGGCUUAACCCCGGGUCUGCAUUCGAUACGGGCAGACUAGAGUGUGGUAGGGGAGAUCGGAAUUCCUGGUGUAGCGGUGAAAUGCGCAGA
rnacentral:rRNA from 6 species